CUGGGUGGGCUUUGAUGUCCUUUCCAAUCCAAGCCAUUCUGUGAUUCCUCAUCACGCUAAUUGCCUCCUGGCAGCUGAACACAAUCCCACAGGUCCCCAGUGAGCAGCAGCCCCGCACCCAGCAGCCCAGCCAGAUACCAUCUCUGGCACAGAAACCCCACGAUGCUCUUCCAGCAUCUUGUCACCACUGACUUCCCAAAGAAAAGCUGUGCCGUGUGACAGUAAUGACAAAUGGCAUCGGCAGUGUGGCUGCAGGAAAUGCCACAGGAAUGCCCGGCGGGGACAACAGAAAGGAUGCAGGACAAAGGACGGUGUCACUGCCUUGGGCUGAGCUUCCCCAGUUCUCAAGGAAACUGUAACACAGUGUGGAGGACAACAGGCACCAGAGCCCUCAUCAGCAGCAUGCUCUGAGCAUAUCAUUUAAAUACAUCACUUUUCAAGGAGACAAAAGAUGGGCAAAAACUCCCCCCGAUGCCUGACAGUUUGUGCUGAAGAGGAUACUGAAAAAAAAAACAACAAAACAUAUUUGCUUUGGAGGUGGGAGGCAGAAAGAGGGAUGGGGAAGGCAUCUUGUCAAAAACACUUCAGUCUGCAACCAUCAGGAAUUUCCUUUAUUUCAUGUCAGAGUGAAUCAGCAGUGCUCCCCAGCAAGGCAGCAAACCUGAGAGAUGCCACUGCUCUCUGCUUCUGCCCGGCAUCCCGGCUGAGAGCCCCAAACCCAAAAACCUCACUGCUUUGAGCUGGUUAUGCUUGGAUUUUCUUUUUUUUUAAAGAAUGAGUAUUUUCCCACUUUUGUUGUCUGAAUGAAGCGUAACAUAAAGUAACUGAAACUAAUAAGCAUGAAAUUAGGUUGAGAGAUACAAAAAAAAAUAAAAAUCUCCAGAACUUGGUAGAGUGAGAAAAGGGAACACAUGGAUUGCAGGCACAGAGAUGGGGCACAGGCUUCUUGAGAAAUACUGGUAUUUUACUGAGCCCCUCUGAACAGUGCUUUCAGUUCAGAACCUGCUUCAUCAGAGUGUUAUUUAGGUAGAAAAAUCACAGCAAGAUUCUAUAUAAAAACAAAGGAAUCACUUUUUUUUUUUUUUUUCCCAAUUCAGCUCUGCUUAAGAGAUACCCAUCAGGUUUCUGGCUUCCUCCUCCAUUUAUCAGACUGCAUGAGAGGUGAACUUGAGGGGUUAUGGUCACUGAUGCAGAACAUGCAAGAAAUUUUUUUUUUUUUUUUCCUCCAGCAAGUCAAAUACACAGUGAGCACUUAGUAGAGAAUUGUGGAAACAACAGACAAUUAACAACAAAUGAGAUGCCAAAAUCUACAGAUAACUCGAGGUUUCAAGUUUAAAAAGCAUUUAGUAUUUAAGAGGAGAAAUAAGGUUAGGAGAGAAAGAUUGAGAGAAAAAUGGGGAAGGAAAACUAAGAUUUCAGUCCCAUGAUGAGUGAACAUGGGCAGUGGAGGAGUUCCCAACUCAUCUCCCUCUCUGUUGAUGUGAAGUUAAUUCUCUUUCCCACUGAUGCCAGAUGGGACCACAUCAUAAAUCACAUCACUGAAAUGCUAAACAUUUUAUUAUAAAUACAUAUAUAAAAAUAUAUCAAUAAACUUAAUAAUACACACAACUUCACUGGUUUCAGCAGUACCACAGAUAUAGUACAGGUCAUGUCCCACCAGCACUUUUUGCUGAUGCAGCUCAUUAAAACCACAGAUGGAUCUGGGUGGACAAACCCAUGAUCAGUGAAUUCACACAAGGUGCAUGUUUUUGGUGUGGCUGUGGGAUUCUGACCACUGAAAUGCUCAUAGAGUCAUAGAAUCACUAAGGUUGGAAAAGACCACGAAUAUCACCUAGUUCAACCAUCAACCCAUCACAACCACACCUACUAAGCCAUGGCCCUCAGUGCCUCAUACACACGUAUGUACAAACUCUCCAGGGUUCCCCAGGAGGACUUUCCACAAGUCUCCUCCUGUUUACACAUCUCACCCAGAAACCACACGUCCUCCUGUCAGACCAGGUCUCCCAGUGCACAGACGUGCUUGUGGUGCUGGUGUACAUAAAGCAAUAGCUUCUGCAGUCAAACAGAGACCUCAGGUUUUGUUUCAGAGCCAUUCUGGGGUUCUCUCAGUUCCAGAGAACAGCUUGCUAAGUGCACUGCCCUGACUCAGGAACCACAGUGCUUCUCAAAACAACAGAAGUGUCUCCUUUCUUAAACACAAAACAAACAAACUGAAAAAACCAAGCCAACCUCAUGAUGUGCAAAGCCAUGGCAUUCUUGGAGCGGGGGCUGGAAUGGUGAUUCCUGAACUCUCUUAGGACAACGAUGCUGGAAUCGAACUCAUUUGACUUUAUCUUGCAAGGGCCCAGUUCAUGUCAUCCCAUCUGGGGCUCCGCACCAACAAGCACUACUGUGUGUUAAAAGUACUUUCAGUGCUCUGGAAACCAACAGCUUUCGCAGCUUCUACAUAAGAACCUAAAACUCGCUGCUGACCUCUAACAACUAUGAUUCUAUGACAACACAAUACUGGCACUUCCAGUAAACUUCAGCCCGACAUACAGCAACACCACACACGUGAGUUCCAGCCGACACGGCACACAUACACAUACCUUGAUAGAAGACCAGGAAUCAUUUUAAUGGAUUGGCUGUAUUCAUUCCUUAAGUGGACGCACAGAAAUAUGGAUCACAAGAUCCCAACCACAAGAACCUGCAAGCACGAUAUCUGAGGGUCAUCCCACUUAGAGCAGAGGGAAAGGAGUAACAGCAGAGGAUGGCACACAUGCAAACACAGCGAUGCCAUGCCUGGCAUAAGUGCUUCCUUUUGUAUGAGGGUGAGCUAAACCUGCUGGCUUCUACAGUCCGGUCUGCUGCAGUUUGAAACCGGUCUGGGAAUGUACAAAGAAAGUGCCUUCACCGUAUUAAACACCAGCUCUCUUUUUUGGGGCUUUUACUAAAAACACAUUAAAAUCCUUUCAAAGAAAAAGAAUCAAAGUUCGAUACUGCCAGCUUGGGGUGUCUCCUGCAGUGGGUUAUUGCUCCUACAGACACUGGAAACCACGGCUUGCAGCCAGGAGAAGAGAAAAGCAAAUCUGUGGGACUUGCGGACAGAGCAGCUGAAGGAGAGCUCUCCUCCCAUACAACCACAGCAGAGGAGAAAACUCAGACAGGAGAACUUCUUGUGGAGGCCAGGCAGGAGAAACGUCAUUUUAUGGAGAUGAGUAAUCACACAGACUUUGGGCUCAGUGCUGUGGGCUCUGCACGUCCAGGGACUGAACUCACCACAGGUACCAGAGGAGAGGACAAACACCGGGAGCUCGCGGCCCUGCAUCUCUGCAGCAGACACACCGAAGCAAAGAAGGGACUGGCCAAUGACUUUAGAAAUUCACGGGCUUCUUAGCAUUGAUACUCUCGCAACUUGCUGGACCUCAGCUGGCUGGAACUAGUCCGGAGGGCCAUUUGCAAUUCUGCCUUACAAAGGGCUGCUGAGCUCUUCCUAGGACUGAAGCCACAUCUACAUGAGAAAAGCUUCACCGGGACUGAAAUGUGUCACAGAGGCAAAGAACUUGAGUCACAGAUACCCCUUAAACAACAGGGUCCCUCUUCUGCCGGGCUGCUCCCAUCACCUCACUGGGUACCCAGGCGUGCUCUGGCAGUGCUACUUCCAACCCGGUUUCUGGUGGGGACAGCCGGGCCCUCAUUGCUCCCACCCACACCACCUCCAGUCUGGGAACAACCCCUGCCCAAAGCUUAACCCGGAGUUUUAAAACAAGCACAACUCUUCAUAGGUGAGCCAGAUGAUGAGGCAGAGAGCAGCAGUGAUUUACAACCGUCGGUUGUAAAACAGUAUUACAGAGGCACUUGACAUCUUAGUUCUCAGCCCUAAUUUGGAAAGGGACUUUGCUGCAGUUCCUGUCAUUUCUCUUCUAAAAGAUAUGCCAAAACUCCUCAAACUGAUGCUCGAUUAGGACGGGACACAAAAUUCAAGUGGGAAACACUGUGCCUGCCUGGCUGACAGCCCCUGCUGAGCUGUAGGAUGGCUCCAGGCAGAGCUCCCCUGCAGCAGCCGCUGGAGUCACCCAACCCCAUCACCGUCCCGCCCUGUGACCUGGUGGCCCACGGGUAUUAAAGGAGCACCUGCUCGUGGGGAUGGGGAUGCUCCAUUGGAGAGGUGCCCGAGGAACCCCAGGAAGUGGCAAAAACUAGGGUGAUACCACCCAGCUGGAGGUAUUCCUGGGUGCAAAGUGAAAGAAGGGCAGCAGGAGCCCGGAGCCGGGCAGGUGGAGCUCUUCAUACAUCCCAACUGCGCUUCCAAGUUUUAUUCCCAGCGAAGAGGAAACAAAACUGAGGAGCCUUCUGUUUGCCCCCUCAUCCCAAAGGGGGGGAGAGAGGGAAGAAAAAAAAUGAGACAGUUGCGCCACAGCUUUGGAAACCAACUGAAGCCCAAAGGAAGGACACCCCCUUCCAAAAACAAAUAAAUAAAUAAGUGGACGCGACAUGCCCAAGGCCGAGCUUCCCGGUAUUAAGGGGCUCAAACAGAGACUUUCGCGAUCGCAGCGGGGCGGGCGGCUCCGCGCUGCCGGUUUUGCUCCCCGCCGCCCCCCGGCAGCCGCGAGCGGAGGGCUCCGCGCGGCGCAAAGAGGGGACGCGGUGGAGGCGGAGGGGGGGGAAGGUAAUAAAACCGCACGGAAUCACGGCACGACAGUCCCGGCCAACUCCAGCCGCGGGGAGCGGAGCGGCUCCGGGACCCCACUGCCCAACGCCCGCACCCCCCCGGACGCCUUUUGCAUUUUUUUUCGGCUGUUGUUUCCCCUCGCUGGAAGCCGCCGCUCCGUUUUACACACCGCCCCGACAAAUUCGCCCUGCUCGCCUCUACGUAACGCCCUGUCGAAAGCGGACGCCAUAUUUUGUGUUGCUGAUGUCGACAUAGACAAACGUAGACAUGUUUUUUCCCCCCCCCCCGCCUCCUCCUGCCGCCGUCCCCCCUCUCCCCGAACUUGAGAUCCGCGGGGCAGCGCGGAGAAGGGCUGCGCGGGGGGCACGGCGCUGCGGCGAGACGAAACGUAAAAAACCCAUUCCAACC